GAGUUUGAUUCUGGCUCAGGACGAACGCUGGCGGCGGGCUUAACACAUGCAAGUCGAACGUGAAGCCCGGAGCUUGCUCCGGGUGGAAAGUGGCGCACGGGUGCGUAACGCGUAGGCAACCUACCCCCGAGUGGGGAAUAACCUGGGGAAACCCAGGCUAAUACCGCAUAUUGUCCUGGAAGCGCAUGUUUCUUGGAUGAAAGGUUUACUGCUCAGGGAUGGGCCUGCGUCGGAUUAGGUUGUUGGUGAGGUAACGGCUCACCAAGCCUGCGAUCCGUAGCUGGUCUGAGAGGAUGAUCAGCCACACUGGCACUGAGACACGGGCCAGACUCCUACGGGAGGCAGCAGUGAGGAAUAUUGCGCAAUGGGGGCAACCUUGACGCAGCCACGCCGCGUGGUGGAUGACACCCCUAUGGGGCGUAAACACCUUUUGUACGAGAAGAAACCCCGGCUCGGUCGGGUCUGACGGUAUCGUACGAAUAAGCACCGGCUAACUCCGUGCCAGCAGCCGCGGUAAUACGGAGGGUGCAAGCGUUGUCCGGAAUCACUGGGUGUAAAGGGUGUGUAGGCGGAUUAGUAAGUC
rnacentral:rRNA from 1 species